rfam:Chloroflexus aurantiacus J-10-fl, complete genome.
ACGGAAGACAUGAUGAGCACACGAUGGAUGCCAUGGCGCUGCGUGCCGAGGAAGGACGGGGCACGGCACCGAUAUGCUCCGGGGAGCCGCGUGCAGGCUGUGAUCCGGAGGUCUCCGAAUGGGGCAACCCGCUGCCAUCUGGCAGCGCUCCGCAUGCGCGGAGCGGGAACCCGGCCAACUGAAACAUCUCAGUAGCCGGAGGAAGAGUGAACGACACCCGUAGUAGCGGCGAGCGAACCGGGUGAGGCCUAAACCGUGCGCGUGCCAAGGGGGCAGCCGUUGCGCGCACGGGGUUGGAGGACGACCCACGCCCAUCCUGCUCGAUGGGCCUCACGCGACCGCGUUCAGCAGAAGCAGUGUGGAACCCUGCACCAGAGAGCGUGAGAGUCGCGUAUGCGUGCGCCUCAGCGUGAGGGGUCGUUCCUGAGUAGGUCCGGGCACGAAGAACCCGGGCUGAAGCCGGGCAGACCACUGUCCAAGGCAAGCUACACGCAGUGACCGAUAGCGCACAGUACCGUGAGGGAACGGUGAAAAGUACCCCGGUGAGGGGAGUGAAAGAGACCCUGAAAUCGUGUGCUUCCACGCCGUGGGAGCCGGGCAACCGGUGACCGCGUGCCUUUUGGAGUAUGAUCCGGCGAGUAAUCCUCGGUGGCGUGGUUAAGGCAGAGCCAGCCGGAGCCGGAGUGAACGCGAGCCUGAACAGGGCAUACCGUCGCCGGGGAUUGACCCGAAACCGUGUGAGCUACCCAUGGCCAGGCUGAAGCGUCCCUAACAGGACGUGGAGGGCCGCACCGGUGUCUGUUGCAAAAGGCUCGGAUGAGCUGUGGGUAGGGGUGAAAUGCCAAUCGAACACGGAGAUAGCUGGUUCUCCCCGAAAUGUAUUGAGGUACAGCCGCGGCAAUGGCACACCCGGAGGUAGAGCACUGUUGUUGUGCGGGGGCUUCACCGCUUACCAAGCGACGGCAAACUGCGAAUGCCGGGUGUGUGCACCGCGAGUGAGACGGCGGGUGCGAAUAUCCGUCGUCGAGAGGGAAACAACCCAGACCGCCGGCUAAGGUCCCCCAGUGGUCGCUAAGUGGGAAAGGUUGUGGCGCCGCUUAGACAACCAGGAGGUUGGCUUAGAAGCAGCCAUCCUUGAAAGAGUGCGUAACAGCUCACUGGUCAAGCAGCGCUGCGCCGAGGCUGUAACGGGGCAAAGCGACCCACCGAAGCCGCGGGUUGACUGAGAGGUCAACGGUAGGGGAGCGUCGUGACCGCAGGGAAGGGACGGCGGAAGCCGCACUGGAGCGGGCACGAGUGCGAAUGCCGGAAUGAGUAACGGAGAAGCGAUGUGGCAAUCAUCGCCACCGAAAGUCAAAGGGUUCUGCCGCACGGAUGCACCGCGGCAGGGUAGUCGGGCCUAAGGGGACGGCCACGGCCAGACCCGAUGGACAACAGGUGAAUAGUCCUGUACCGUGGAGUGGUCGCUUGACCAAUGCCGGAUGCUGAGGGGUAGUCGCCGCGGCGAGACGAGCGCCGUCCAAGCCGGUAGGGAGCAGGGCGAAGGAAAUCCGUCCUGCGCUGACCGAGAGGUGAGUGAAAGGGGGUUGGGGAACCAACCGCCAAUGGCGAGGCGCCUGUGCAGCCACGAAAGGCCGGCUCGGGAGACCACCCACGCCCGUACCGCAAACCGACACAGGUAGACAGGUCGAGGAGACCAAGGUGGACGAGUGACCCCCGGUUAAGGAACUCGGCAAAUUGACCCCGUACCUUCGGAAGAAGGGGUGCUGCGUGUAGGGUGAAGCCCCUGGCGGGUGGAGCCCGAGGCAGCCGCAGGGUCCAGGCCCGGGCGACUGGAUACCAGAACCACAGCUCCCUGCUGAAGCCGGAAGGCGACGUAUAGGGGGUGAUGCCUGCCCAGUGCCGGAAGGUUAAGGGGAGGGGUGAACGCUCCAAACCGAAGCCCCGGUAAACGGCGGCUGUAACUAUAACAGUCCUAAGGUAGCGAAAUUCCUUGUCGGGUAAGUUCCGACCCGCACGAAAGGCAUCACGAUCUGGGCACUGUCUCGACCGGGGGCUCGGUGAAAUUGCAGUGGCCGUGAAGAUGCGGCCAACUCAGAGCGGGACAAAAAGACCCCGUGGAGCUUUACUACAGCUUGCCAUCGGGCCGUGCAGGCGGAUGCGUAGGAUAGGUGGGAGGCGGAGAAGGCGGACUUGCGGGUCUGCUGGAGCCGACGGUGAAAUACCACUCUUCGGUCUGCGCUGCCCUCACCGGCGGAAGGCUGGGACGGUGGCUGGCGGGUAGUUUGACUGGGGCGGUCGCCUCCUAAAGGGUAACGGAGGCGCGCAAUGGCGCCCUCAGGCGGGAUGGUCAUCCGCCGUGGAGUGCAACGGCAGAAGGGCGCUUGACUGCGAGGCAGACAGGCCGAGCAGGGAUGAAAGUCGGCCGUAGUGAUCCCACAGUACCGGGUGGAAGGGCUGUGGCUUAACGGAUAAAAGCUACCCCGGGGAUAACAGGCUCAGACCGCCCAAGAGUUCAUAUCGACGGCGGAGCGUGGCACCUCGAUGUCGGCUCGUCGCAUCCUGGGGCUGGAGUAGGUCCCAAGGGUUGGGCUGUUCGCCCAUGAAAGCGGCACGCGAGCUGGGUUCAGAACGUCGUGAGACAGUUCGGUCUCUAUCCGCUCUGAGCGCGUAGAGCAGUGCGCGGGGCUGGCCCUAGUACGAGAGGACCGGGCUGGACGGACCGCUGGUGGAGGAGUUGUGGGGCGGCCUGCAAGCUCCGUAGCUAUGUCCGGGAGUGAGAACCGCUGAAAGCAUCUAAGUGGGAAACACGCCGCAAGACGACUGCUCUCACAGCGCAAGGCUGGUAAGCCCCCCGCGAGAUGAGCGGGAUAAGCGGCCGGAGCUGGAGGCGGGGUGACCCGUAGAGGCGACCGGUGCGCAGGGGCGAGGGCUUCCGUCC